AGUGAACGCUGGCGGCAUGCCUAAUACAUGCAAGUCGAACGGCAGCACAGUAAGCUCUCGCUCUUACGGGUAGCGAGGGGCGGAUGGGUGAGGCAUACAUAGGAAACCACUUAUACGGGGGUGACAACGGAGGAAAACUGAUGCUAAUACCGCAUACGACCAACCGGUGAAAUCAGGGGAGCUUCGGACCUUGGGCGACUGAAUGAGCCGGUGCCGGAUUAGCUAGUUGGCGUGGUAAAGGCCCACCAAGGCGACGAUGCGUAGCUGGUCUGAGAGGAUGAUCGGCCACACUGGAACUGAGACACGGUCCAGACUCCUACGGGAGGCAGCAGUAGGGAAUAUUGCACAAUGGGCGAAAGCCUGAUCGAGCCAUGCCGCGUGAGUGAUGAAGGCCUUCGGAUUGUAAAGCCCUGUUGUUAGGAAAGAACAGCUGCGGGUGAAUCCCCCGCCGUUUUGACGGUACCCAAAGAGUAAGCCACGGCUAACUUCGUG
rnacentral:rRNA from 1 species